UGCCUGAGGAGGGGUGAGCUGGCUCAGGUCACAGAUGCAGCAGGUCAAAACUGUAAUCUACUGUAGGGAACCUGCUUUAGCAGGGGAGCAGACUAGAUGAUGUCCAGACGUCCCUUCCAACCCCCUGCAAUUCUGUGAUUCUGUAUUACAAUGCACUGGCUCUCAGGACAGCCCCUGUUUGAUAUAAAGCACGAAGGCUCCAUGGAAUUUACAGAGUCAAGAACAUCAAACAUUUUUUAUUCUUCUCUGUGGGUCUCAACGGCUGCUUAUAAAGCAAUAGCCACUCAUUAGUACUCAAUGCCACUACGCAAGAAUAGCUAUUGUGCCUGCGCAUGUGACUGAAUGAACCCGGAAGCUCCGAAAGCUGGGAAAGUCAAAGAAGGAUUUAGAAGACAGAAGAACCGACCAGAAGGAGUGCGGGCAGCCCAUGACACAGAGCCUCGUGCACGGUGCGUGACCGAGACUGUGAUUGGAUGCGGAGCCUCGUGCACAGUGCGUGAUCGAGGCUGUGAUUGGACAGAAGUUACGAAACCAGCGCAUGUCGCGGAUGCGGUCAGGUGUACGGGUAUAAUACCGGGAGCGUUCGGGGGAAUAGAGAUCUGCUUCCACCACAUCGGUGACUGAGAGACUCCAUCCGAGCAAGCACAGACAGCCUCGGGUCGGGAGGAUGGACAGCUGCGGGAGGCGAUAGCAACACUUCUCCAUUGUGCAAGUUCUCCUCCAUCUAUAACAGUAUUUAUUGAUGUCUCCCGUUGUCUCCUCCCACUCUCAGAAGAUAAUGCUUUCAACUUGAUGUGGUAUCUCUCCACAGUAUCAUAAACAUCUCUCCACUUGAUUUUUCUGAGUUCUGGAGACAAUCCUGCAAUUCUCUAUGGCUCUGCUCAGUAUCCUACCACUGAUCCCUCCUUUCCUGGUUUUAUUUCUGAUGAUCCUAUCAUGAUAGUCCUUGCUGGUGUUACUGAAGACUAGCAUGUAGCUAAAUCCAAACCUCUCACUUCUGUUUUCUUUUCCUUUCUUUUAAACUCUCUGUUUUUUGUCUCGAUUUGAAUGAUUAAUUCAAAUUGAACGUCACCAGGAGAGAAAAUUCACCAUCAGAUUUCUUAUCCAUUUAAAUGAUCUGCAAAUCUCAUGGAGCCAGAGAUUCACCUUCAGACCCUUCUACAUCUCUCUUCCUCACCUGCUUAUGGUACUCUCACUCUUCCAGUCAUGUCAGUAACUUUGAUACUAUUUUUAAGGAGAAAAUGUUGUUAAUUCUUCUGUUCUUUUAUAGGUUUUCCUGAGUCAUCUGUAAAGUUCUAAUGCAAUGACUCCCUGACCCAUCUUAUAUCUCCCACCUAGACUGUGUUGCUUUUUGGAAAUUCCCUUGAUGCAUUCUGAGAUUGCAGUAAUGCAGAACUUUGCUUCUCCCUAUCUAUCAUAUCCACAUUUUCUCUUUUCUUCAGAUAAUUAUGAUGAUCAUUGCACUGCAUUCAUAAAACACAGCAGUAGCCUGAGGGCCCUGUCAGGAUCAACAAUUUGCUGAGCUGGCAAUAUACAAUGACAAGUUCCUCUAGCCCCAGCAGCUCAUUGGGCUGGCAAUAUAAUAUUUAAUUAAGUUGUUUCUUCUGCUCAUUUUUCUCUCCUCAGGACCUCCUCUACUUUUCCUCUGCCAGUGUUUUUACCAAGAUGACAUCUUCCUAUGUAGUUUCUGACUACUGCAUACACCAGAUCUCUGCCCUGGUCUCUGGAUUUCUGCUGCUGCGCCAACAAGUAUUUCUAUCUUCUUCAGUCCCUAGAAGUGCUCUCUCCAAAGUGUUACACAGUAUUGCAUACAUCCAAUCCAAAGAGCAGAACCCAUGGAAAGGAAAGGUUAAGACUGAAGACUGUUUAAAAUGCUUGCUGUCAGAGGUUACAAACUUUCCUGAACUUCAGAAACCUGAUUGGGAGAGAAGAAAAAGAAUUCAACUCUUAAACUUGACCUCUUCAAAGCUUCUCAAAGCUGUUCCACUACAUCAAGUGACAGAAACUGGAAAGGGAGGGAAAUGGAGGACAAAGAACUAUUGAAGAUGCAAAGAGUAAUUCAAAAUGUACUGAGAGGUUUGGACAUCUUUUAUUCUUGAAAAAAAAGUUAAACAAAACCACCAGUCUGACACAAAAUUAAAAUCCAUCCUGUAAUCUCUUGCCAGAGAAAGAUCUUAAACAUUAAAAACAAAAAACAACAACAAACAACAAA